ACUUUUGAAUUUUAGGAAAUUAUAUUAGUAAAAUGGUGCUUGCAACUUUAUAACCUUGUGGUUUGAUACAAAAUAGUGGAAUCGCGAAAUUAAGUAAUCCGUUAUGUAUGGAAUUUAUAGCAUAAGGUGCUUCCUUGUAUCAACGACAGGGAUGUCUCUGGGUACAGCUAACACAUUUAUAUUACACCUCGUUUGUGGUUUCUAAUAUUUGUACGUUGAAGUGUGAUUGGAUUACAAUGAAGAAGACACAUCUUAAAAGGAUGUUAUUGUUGUAUUUCAUGACCAUGUUAUUGUUGUAUUUCAUGACCACAUUUCUUUGAUAUUUUUGUGGCAAUUGGUAAAAACUCACUGAAUAAAAAAUAAUAAAACUUUAAAAUUCAAUG
rnacentral:misc_RNA from 1 species